rnacentral:rRNA from 1 species
UACGUAGGGUGCAAGCGUUGUCCGGAAUUAUUGGGCGUAAAGAGCUUGUAGGCGGUUUGUCGCGUCUGCUGUGAAAUUUCGGGGUUCAACCCCGAACUUGCAGUGGGUACGGGCAGACUAGAGUGUGGUAGGGGAGACUGGAAUUCCUGGUGUAGCGGUGAAAUGCGCAGAUAUCAGGAGGAACACCGAUGGCGAAGGCAGGUCUCUGGGCAGUAACUGACGCUGAGGAGCGAAAGCGUGGGGAGCGAACAGG